AUGAUUUUCCUUUUUGAUACUUGCCUUGCACACAAUGUAUGCCCUUCAUGUUUAGUAGCUUUGCUUGUAUUUCUGCGGUUAUACCAACUUAAUGUUGAACCUUUUCUCUUUCUCUUUUCGGCAAUACAGGCUUUCCAUAAGGUGGUCCGCAGCUGGGCCUCAAAGAAAUUCAUGACUGGAUGGCCACAGAACACUAAAUAA
rnacentral:rRNA from 1 species